rnacentral:rRNA from 1 species
GACGAACGCUGGCGGCGUGCUUAACACAUGCAAGUCGAACGAAGUGGCGAACGGGUGAGUAACGCGUAAUCAACCUGCCCAUCAGAGGGGGACAACAGUUGGAAACGACUGCUAAAACCGCAUACUGAAGGAGGGGAUGGCGGCUGAUUAGCUAGUUGGAGGGGUAACGGCCAACCAAGGCGAUGAUCAGUAGCCGGUCUGGGAGGAUGAACGGCCACAUUUGGACUGGGACACGGCCCAAAAGCCUACGGGAGGCAGCAGUUGGGAAUCUUCCGCAAUGGAAGAAAGUCUGACGGAGCAACGCCGCGUGAGUGAUGACGGCCUUCGGGUUGUAAAGCUCUGUUAAUCGGGACGCGGUACCGGAAUAGAAAGCCACGGCUAACUACGUGCCAGCCGCCGCGGUAAUUC